rnacentral:rRNA from 1 species
GACGAACGCUGGCGGCGUGCUUAACACAUGCAAGUCGAACGGAAAGGUCCUGCUUUUGUGGGGUGCUCGAGUGGCGAACGGGUGAGUAACACGUGAGUAACCUGCCCUUGACUUUGGGAUAACUUCAGGAAACUGGGGCUAAUACCGGAUAGGAGCUCCUGCUGCAUGGUGGGGGUUGGAAAGUUUCGGCGGUUGGGGAUGGACUCGCGGCUUAUCAGCUUGUUGGUGGGGUAGUGGCUUACCAGGGCUUUGACGGGUAGCCGGCCUGAGAGGGUGACCGGCCACAUUGGGACUGAGAUACGGCCCAGACUCCUACGGGAGGCAGCAGUGGGGAAUAUUGCACAAUGGGCGGAAGCCUGAUGCAGCAACGCCGCGUGCGGGAUGACGGCCUUCGGGUUGUAAACCGCUUUCGCCUGUGACGAAGCGUGAGUGACGGUAAUGGGUAAAGAAGCACCGGCUAACUACGUG